AUGAGAAUGCAUCUGAAGUUUCUACUGUCUUGCUUCAAGUUUUACCUAAUCCGAAACCUCAAAUCAGUGAGAAUUUAGCUGUCCAGAAGAACAGUUUGUCAAAGACAGAAGCAGCUACAAAAAGUGAAGUUCAUACACCUUGUAACAAGGAUGGGGCGUCAGCAGGCCGAAAGAGUAGGAGUGAGUGGAUAGUGUGAUAUUAAUCUACGUUAUCUGUUGCCAUGAUGAGGAUCAGGUGUUGGUUCUUGAGACAUCAAGCCGUUCAAUCUUACAAAUGAUGAUAAAGAAACUCCCCCUGUCAAGGUUCUGAGUUCCCAAACGCCGGUACUAUUCACCCCUUGGAUUGCUAAUGUGUUUGGUUUGGUAGUUGUUUUAUAAUCUUGUGAUGUUGCGGGGAAAAAAAAAAACUUUUUUAUCAGCAGUGUUGGAGCAAGGAGCAGGCUGACAAAGAAGCAACGUUUCGAGACUGAGUUAUCCAAAAGAAAGGGGUUAUCCAAAGUGAUGCUAACAAGGCCAAAGAUAAGUUUUUCCAAUAUGUUGACUGCGUUUAUGAGUAUUAAUGUGCGCAGACUAUCAAAUGUUUACAUUCAGUUACACAUAAAUAUCCAUGUUGCCAUCAUAAGCUGAUUUAAAAAUUUCUAAUUAGGUCAUUGUCUUUAUAGGAACUUGAUGAAAAAAAAUUUGGAGUGCAAGAGCUGACGAAAUGAACAAGGCUUUUAGCAAAGAGAUUGCAGAAGUGACCACUGUGAGUGCCUUUUUACUAGUGGCACUGUGGCAUACCCUUGUAUUUUUAGUUUUCCAUAUAAACUUUGAUGAAUCAUUAUGGCGAUUGGUUGACAAUUAGGGCCUUUGAUUUGAACUGGGUGAAGAAAAGCUUUGAAAGCCUUGAUCUUUAGGGAAUGAGGCCAACAACAAAGGCAAUAGAGACCAUUUAGCAGACUUACUAGACUUACGUAAUAAGUAAAUCUCUCUAUCUCCUUCCUUGGAAACUCCCUGUCAAGUUCUGAUUUCCCAACCAGGUACCAUUCACCCCUCUGGAUUGCUAAUUGUGCUUGUUUUGAUAGGUUGCAACACUUGUAAGCAAACAGACUGAGUUAAAAGCUUUGCAUAAUAACUUCCGACUGACAAUAGAAUGGUUCUGCUAUCGUGUAAAUAUAAAUUUGGUUUGAAGAGAUCUACGUGCUUCACUAGAAUAAAUAGCCGUUUUAACAUUAUCGCAAUCAUUCAUUAUUUCCUACUGAACUUGAAAACCUCCAGGAGACUCUGCUUUGCUGGGAGUUGCUUAGGUCCUAUGGAACUUAAAGGCACUUAGGGAUAUAGUGCCAAGCGGGUCCCGGGUAAGAAACCAGCAAUAGCAUCUUCAGCGCGGCCCCCCCCCAGCAAGGAUCAAGUGGAAGUACUGGUACUUUAAUUGAUGGGGGAGUUGAAUGGGAGAGGGGAAAAAUAAAGGUCUGAGAUCUCUAAAUCAAUCAUGAUGGUGGCAUUUCUCUUUAUUUCUUAUUAAAAUAUCUUGUAUGUAUAAGAUUCUUAGGUUGCGCUCCUUGUCCUUGUAACUCUGAUUUUAUUUUUUUAGACGCUCCACCAGUAAAUUUUAUGGUUGCUCUUUGAUAGAAUAUUUAGUACAUAUUGAAGUGUACUUGUUUGGUUAUUGUUUUUUAUAUGGUUACGUUUAGCAAGUAUCUUGAUUUCUUGGCAGACACUUUUGUUUUAAUCCCCCCCGGGAAGUUGCUAGUUACUUAGGUAUGUAGCCCCCGAAUGCAAGCGGGAUUAGAUUGUGGUUAAUGACUAUAGUACGGUUGAAAAACCCGAGUGAGAUGGGUGAUCAACCAUGACUUCUCUAUGCAGUUCUUUAUUCAUAUUCUCUAUUGCUAUGUGCUUAUGGAGAUUUUUUUUUAUGAUGAACUUCAUUAUGUAUGAAGGAUGCUUGAAAAAAUGUUCCCUUCCAUGUUGAUGGGUUACUUUUUGGCCACUUCACUUUCCUCACUGGUUAAAAUGGUGGCACUAGAAAAAUUGGGUAAGUUUUGUUUCGGAAACUGAAAACAUGUAGGGGGGCUAUUAGUAUUAUAGAUGGUGAUCUGGUUCAAUUUUUAUUGAUUUAAUUUGAUAGUUUUGGCGGUCGUGAGGUACCCAUCAAUACUUGUUUGUUAUGGUAACCAUUUAUAUAUUGUUCAGGCCUUGAGCUAUCUAUCAAUUUAUUAUAUUUGAUCAUGCAUUGGUUAUGCACCAGUAGUAUUUUGCUAGCUGAAUGGGAUUUGGCGUUAAUUGCAUCAAGGUGCUGAUUGAUGCAAAAUCUUGUGUUCCACACCACUACAAUGUGAAAUAGAAGCUGUGUGAAAAUCUUAUUAGGUAGAAAACUAAUGGACAGUAGUAGUAGUAAUUCUAGUUGCUGUGACGGCUAGUUUGCUAGUUGUUCCAUUCAAAUAUAUCUGCUUAUGUUUGCCAUCAUUCAUAUGCCAAAACUAACAUUCUAUAUGGCCCCUCUACAAUUUUUGUACCAUGGGUCAAUAAUUUUUAUUAGAUUACGGUUUUUGCCCUGCUGACAAUUGCUUUUAAUUUAAUUUUGGAACUAUGGAGAGGAAGGUGAUGGAGAUUUAAAGAGUGAGAGCCAAGAUUAGGAACAUUACGAGUUACCAUGAGUAUGCUUUGUCUUAAGAAUUAAUUUUCUCAAUAAUUUAUAUUUUUUCAGAGUUGCCUUGAACAAAGGACAAAACCUGUAAUUUUGCAUAAUUGUGCAGAACAUGCAGAACCAAAAAUUAUACCAUCUUAUUUUUACAUAUUUCACUCGGUUAUUGAGAUGUCACUUAAGUUAGCCACUAUUUUCCAUGUUGAUUAUCUACUCUACUUUAAAAGGCGGAAAAACACCCCCCCCCGAUUGUUUUCUACUUUUUCUUUUCCAAAAUUGCCCCCAAAUUAGGCAUCAAAAUAACAACCGCCCCCGCCCACCCCCUUUGAAACAAACACAACUGUAACAAACAGUUUCAAGCCUCGCCCACAAAUGUAACCUAUCUCAGCGAAGAACCAUUUCCUUUGAUCCCACUUGCUUUGAACACUAAGAUCGGAUCUCCCUUCAGUGCAAUCCAUGACGUUAUAAGAUGACACACCCUUCUUGACCAACAGAUCCGCCUGCCUUCAUCCUCCUAAGUGCUUUUUUUGCGUAUAAUUACUAUCUUCUUAUUUAUCGUUUUUGAGUUAAUCCAUAACAAUUCACUCGAAGGAUCAAAAUUGAUAGUCACCUAUCGUUCUUCAUAAAGUGUGUACAUGAUGUUUUUUUUUUUUUAUUUUUUGUAGAAAAGAUGUCCUUUAUUCAAAUCUAUGAAUGGCAAAUUGGCAAGUAAGAUGUUCGAGAAACAUGUAUGAGCCACUAUGAAAAUCGACAAUGCCAUUGCAAUACACUGUUAUUAAUUUUGGUUGUCUAUUUUCUUUUUCUAUAAACGUAUUUUUUUUUAAGGAGGACAAUCUUGCUAAUAAAUUUUUAGGCAUGGGGUUUGGGUUUUUUUUUUUAUGCCGAAAAAGUAUCGAAAAAGUAUAUGGGGGGUGAACCUUUAUGAAAGAAUAUUGAUGACUGAAAUUUGAUAAAAAAGUGUGUUAUACUUGAAAAAUAAUCUUUUUUCAUAUGUUCAAAAGGAUGAUGAUAUAAUCAUUAAUCACAAUUCAAGAAUUUCCACUUCUUUAGAGCUAUUUCUAUAUAAACCUUUUCAACAUAAUAAAUCUAAACUUUGAAAUUUUACAGCCUCAAGUUCCUUUCUUUGGCGAACCAUUAAUUGGGUUAGUCUUUUUUGUUUGGUGGGGGUUUGGUGGGGGGGUUUGUUUGUCUUUCUGGUAAUCUUUAAAGGUUUUGGAGGGAGUAAAAAAAAAAGGACACAGUUCAAGUGUAUAUAAUGGCUGUUUUAGAACAACUUGAUGGAUGGUUGAGGGAAAGUACCCUCAUAUUACGUCUGUAACAAUCACGAAAUGUAGAUGCUUAUAUUACAUUGUGAGUUUAUAAGGAAGACAGGAGUUGAAUGUUUUGAGUGUGGAAUUUGUUGGGUGUGACAUUUUUAUUGGAAAGUAAGAGACAAGGGUAAAUUUUUUAAACACAAAGAGGGCCAUAUGGGAGGAGACAUAGAGCUCACUAAAGCAAGAAUAAAGCCUUUUGGAUCUGCAUGCAUGGUGAGUCUGGGACUUUACGGCUGUGUUGGAUUAAGAUUUUGGAGAGAUUUUUAUCCAUGAAAAAAACACAUUCUUGGGGGCUGCUCCUAUGUCUUUUAUUAACACUAUUUAGUGGCAAUCUGGUGUAUCAAUUGAGACGUCAUCUUGAAGUUGCCAGUUAUAAAAACUUUACUUUUGAUAGUGGAUCAAUUUUCUCAAGAUUUCUUUCCAUGGGUAACAAUUUUCGAAAUUGGAAUUAUUUAGGCUCUAUAGAAAUGAAAAAUACUUCAUGUAGCCUCUGCAAAUGCAUACAAUUAGUUUCGAAUAGUAUUUUAUUACAUUCAUCUCGAGAGUUUGCUAGAAAUGUCAUAUUUUCAAUUUGCAUUACUUUUUUAAGUGGCCUAAUCCUUUUAUUUUUAUGUGUUACACAUUUUCUAUUUCAAAUGAUGGUAUAUGUUUUCAAUAGGGCAUCUUGAGACAUAGACCAUCCUUUGAAAUAGAAUGUUUGUACCAUCAAAAUAAAAAGUGCACCACAUAUUUCUCUGAGUAACGCUGUCCAACAACUUAUUGGGGAUGGCGUUGUACACCCAUAUAUUGUCCUUUGAGUACCGGUCAACAACCAAUGAUUUUUUUUGUUUAUAUCUUUCAAAUAACCACGCCCAGUCAUCCAUUACGUGCAUUGUUGUCACAACUGAUGAGCUACUAUGUUACCAUACUAUAAUAAGUUAAAUCACUACUACGUUGAACGCGAGGGUCCCAUUAUUAGGACAUUCACAUCCCUAAAGAGAUCCUCCACUUCCUAUCAACUGGAUUUCCCAGUAAACAUAAAUUACUUUACUCCUCAAGUCGCCGUUUAAAAUACCACGUUAUCGCUCCCAAGAGGGAGGGAAGUGACCCCUUUCCAUGGCAUAGCAUGGCCUUUCUCAAAGCCAAACAUUCUCUCAUUAUGCCUAGAAUAGCUGAGGCUUCCCAUGAUUUAGCCGCCAACAUUCCUAUCACUAACGUUAGACAAACUGCCACACCUCCCCUAUGUGGGUCCCUUAGGAGGUAAAUUUCAAGAGGUGGCUACUAGUUAAAACUAUGGCAGGGCUACAUAGAACAAUCAAACAAAUACAUAUGGAUAUUUUCUAACCUUGUUUGACAGUAAUUUUGUAUUUUUAAAUUAGCAUAAAAAAGAUAGAAUAGCAACGUACUUUAGAAAAAUUUGAUCUAUUCCAACAGCGUCCUUAUGUUUUUGUUAGCAACAAUUUUUAGAGAGCAAUAACAACUCUUAAUUUUGAGGGCUUGCUAUACUACACCCUAUUUAUUUUCCUUUUCACAUCUUUCGUUCACUCUGUUUUCUCUGUUGCAUGUACAGUCCAGGUUGUUAUGCCUUUCUGCUGCUUCGUUGUUAUUUUGAGCCAAAUUGUCCUUGUAACAACUCAGUUUCACUGUGAGUAUCCCAUUUCCUCAUAUUACUUUGUCUAGUUUUGCAUGUUGCUUGAGAAUACAUAAUAAUCGACAGAGACAAAAAAUACAACCAAGACAAGGUACAAAACAAACAUUGAAAACUAUUAUGUGAUAAUGACGUAGAAAAGAGUAGAACUCGCAUGCUUAAACAAUCUUUACUGUUUUGUCCGUUAAGAAUUUUGCCAAUUGGGUCUUUGUCGGUAAGGAUUGUUACUGUUACCUCACUUGCACCACCAUGAAUUUUAAUAAAAGUUUGUUCUUUUCUGCCCUUGCUUCUUUUUCCUUUUUAUUCCAUUGGCGGAGCUACACUCAUUUUUAGUAGUUCAAUUUGAUUUUAAAUUUGACUUACUAUACUGCUUACCAUGUAAAUGUGAUAGAGGGUUUUUAUAAAAUGGACACCACUAACAGUAUUAAAAAACGAACUAACACAAGGGGUUUGGUCAAAUAACCCUGUGGUGAGGGAUUCUUGUUGACUGCCUAUAAAUAUAGAAUUGUUUGUUGCGAUUCCAAAGCCCAAAAAAUUUAUUCAGAACAUCUGCCCUUGUUGCUGAAUUGGGAAAAGUUAGAGGUGAUAUUGGAGUGGUUAAUGUUUCAGGAAAAAAAAUCUUUGCUAAAAUUUGAAGAAAUAGGAAAUAGUAGGUAUUGUGGUAGUCGAUCUUAUGUCAAUGUCUUUCUUUAUUGCUAUCAUCUAGGAGUACCAUAUAUGACUAGUCUUUGUUUUCAAAAUUCCUCAAACACAGUAAAUCUUGACAUCAAAAGUAGCUUCCUUACACUACACUGCAUAACGCAAUUACUUAUUCUUGUACUUCCUCCUUUAUUUUUUCCUAAAGUCUUCUUGUCCCUUUAUUUUGUAGUUGUAAACAUUGCAGUGUCACUGAAUCUCCAUCCAUUCCUCUCAGUCCUAGAAGUCAAAAUAGGACAUAGAAGUCAAAUAUAAUGAAGCAAUUUCUCACCUAAUAUUAAAGAUGUUUGUAUUGUUAUAUGUAAUUUCAGAGAUCUUAGGGCUGGGAUAACUAAUCUUGUGAUUGAUCGGGUUAUAUAUUGAAAAACAUAACCUUCUAAUUGACUUAAAAAAUAACUUACAAUAAAAGCUACGUGUAGCGCAAGACAUACAUUACCUUUGCGAUGCAAUUCUAUAUCUCUCUUUUUUUCAAAAGAAGAGAAUAAGUCCAAUGUUCAAGGGAAACAUACCCCAUUUGUUGAAGUGUCUUUUGCCUCACAUUUAUUUCUCAUUCCAAUUAUUACUACAUUUUCUAUGCCAUAUCUAUGUCAACAACUAAAGUGCUCAUCAAGAUUGAAUCACAGUUAAGGAAAAAGGCCUACACUAAAAAUGUAAUAUAAAAGAAUUCCUCACUUUGAAAAGGUAAGUUUUGGAUUCCAAGUCUACAAUUUUAAUUUAAAUGACCAAAUCGGGUACUUUUGUUACUUUGUAUUGUUUGACGAAUUUUGUUGGUUUAAAAACGCCUGAAAGUUUUGCGUCCGAAGUCAAUGAGGAUUUCUCGUGCCAAUCUCUUCACAGUAUAGUUUUAAAGUUUCUUAUAUUAUUGUGGCCAUUUCAAACCUCCUCUAGAUUUGUUUGUGUGUUUGCUUACUUACUUCUCAUCAAACAAUUUUCCAAUGAUCAGGUAAAUCGUGGCUCUAUAAGGCUAGAAAGUGCUACUAAGUUAUAUUUUUGAAGUAUUUGAAAUCUAGGAAUUAUGUGAUUAAUGCUGACUGUAAAAUAUCCUCUCAAAAUGAAAAUAAUACUUCCCCUUUUCAAGCAAAGCAACUUGUCCACUCCACUUAACCCCCUGUACACUUCACUUCUCUCUGCAUUAGAUCUCUCCUAAAGCAUUUCCAAGAUGUUUAGUCAAUCAAUUUCCAUCUAAACUUGAAAGCAAAACCCUAAUGCAUUAUAUAUUUUCUUCCGCUUUCUAUCUGAUG
rnacentral:lncRNA from 1 species